rnacentral:rRNA from 1 species
AGUGAACGCUGGCGGUAGGCCUAACACAUGCAAGUCGAACGGCAGCACAGUAAGAGCUUGCUCUUACGGGUGGCGAGUGGCGGACGGGUGAGGAAUACAUCGGAAUCUACUUUUUCGUGGGGGAUAACGUAGGGAAACUUACGCUAAUACCGCAUACGACCUACGGGUGAAAGCAGGGGAUCUUCGGACCUUGCGCGAUUGAAAUGGCCGAUGUCGGAUUAGCUAGUUGGCGGGGUAAAGGCCCACCAAGGCGACGAUCCGUAGCUGGUCUGAGAGGAUGAUCAGCCACACUGGAACUGAGACACGGUCCAGACUCCUACGGGAGGCAGCAGUGGGGAAUAUUGGACAAUGGGCGCAAGCCUGAUCCAGCCAUACCGCGUGGGUGAAGAAGGCCUUCGGGUUGUAAAGCCCUUUUGUUGGGAAAGAAAAGCAGCAGGUUAAUACCCCGCUGUUCUGACGGUACCCAAAGAAUAAGCACCGGCUAACUUCGUG